rnacentral:rRNA from 1 species
UACCAGCACCCCGAGUGGUCGGGACGAUUAUUGGGCCUAAAGCAUCCGUAGCCGGUUCUACAAGUCUUCCGUUAAAUCCACCUGCUUAACAGAUGGGCUGCGGAGGAUACUAUAGAGCUAGGAGGCGGGAGAGGCAAGCGGUACUUAGUGGGUAGGGGUAAAAUCCGUUGAUCCAUAGAAGACCACCAGUGGCGAAGGCGGCUUGCCAGAACGCGCUCGACGGUGAGGGAUGAAAGCUGGGGGAGCAAACCGG